rnacentral:rRNA from 1 species
GACGAACGCUGGCGGCGUGCUUAACACAUGCAAGUCGAACGGGUCUGCCCUGUUUUUUGCGGGGUGGGUCAGUGGCGAACGGGUGAGUAACACGUGAGUAACCUGCCCCUCACUUCUGGAUAACCGCUUGAAAGGGUGGCUAAUACGGGGUGUUCUGGCUGUGCCGCAUGGUGUGGCUGGGAAAGAUUCACUUUUGUGGUGUUUUGGUGGGGGAUGGGCUCGCGGCCUAUCAGCUUGUUGGUGGGGUGAUGGCCUGCCAAGGCUUUGACGGGUAGCCGGCCUGAGGGGGUGGGCGGUCACACUGGGACUGAGAUACGGCCCAGACUCCUGCGGGAGGCAGCAGUGGGGGGUAUUGCACAAUGGGCGGAAGCCUGAUGCAGCGGCGUCGCGUGAGGGAUGGAGGCCUUCGGGUUGUGAACCUCUUUCGCCGGUGAAGAAGGUCCUGCUCUUUGUGGUGGGGUUGACGGUAGCCGGGUUAUGAAGCGCCGGCUAACUACGUG